CUCUCCCCAAUGCUUCUUAGGCCUCCCUCUCCCUCGCCGACCACCAACUAUCUCCAGCCGCUCGCAGGUCCUCACCGGGGUAUCGGGGCCCCUCCUCCGAACAUGUCCGAACCACCUCAGUCUCGCUUCCCGCAUCUUCUCGUCCACCGGGGCCAUCCCUAGCUUCUGUCGAAUAACUUUAUUCUUGAUCUUAUCCAGCCUGGUGUGCCCACACAUCCACCUAAGCAUCCUCAUCUCCGCAACCUUCAUUCUCUGAACAUGCGAGU
rnacentral:lncRNA from 1 species